UGUCUCUAAUGACGUGGCGACUUG
rnacentral:snRNA from 1 species